rnacentral:pre_miRNA from 1 species
AGCUUUUCGAAUCCGUGCUGAGAUUUCGUCAGACACCAACCCAUUAGGGCUGAUCAGA